UAACGAUCGCAGGUCUAAUGACGAUCGCAGGUCUAAUGACGAUCGCAGGUCUAAUGACGAUCGCAGGUCUAAUGACGAUCGCAGGUCUAAUGAUCGCAGGUCUAACGAUCGCAGGUCUAAUGACGAUCGCAGGUCUUAUAACGAUCGCAGGUCUUAUAACGAUCGCAGGUCUUAUAAUGAUCGCAGGUCUAAGAGAGAAGACACACCAGCCCGAUAAUUGGGCGUCGGGCCGUCUGGCGAGGUCCGUGACUCGAGUCUG